rnacentral:rRNA from 1 species
CCUACGGGGGGCUGCAGUGGGGAAUAUUGGACAAUGGGGGCAACCCUGAUCCAGCCAUGCCGCGUGUGUGAAGAAGGCCCUCGGGUUGUAAAGCACUUUCAGUGAGGAAGAACGCCUGGUGGUUAAUACCCAUCAGGAAAGACAUCACUCACAGAAGAAGCACCGGCUAACUCCGUGCCAGCAGCCGCGGUAAUACGGAGGGUGCGAGCGUUAAUCGGAAUUACUGGGCGUAAAGCGCGCGUAGGUGGCUUGAUAAGCCGGUUGUGAAAGCCCCGGGCUCAACCUGGGAACGGCAUCCGGAACUGUCAAGCUAGAGUGCAGGAGAGGAAGGUAGAAUUCCCGGUGUAGCGGUGAAAUGCGUAGAGAUCGGGAGGAAUACCAGUGGCGAAGGCGGCCUUCUGGACUGACACUGACACUGAGGUGCGAAAGCGUGGGUAGCAAACAGGACCAGAUACCCCAGUAGUC